AGUCGCUCUGAUUUCGUCGCCUAUCAUCUCCAAGCCCUGAUUCGGUAUCUCAACCACCGACCUCAAUUCCAUAUCAAAAUGCCAAUUUUUUUUCUCUCUGCACCUCCAUUUUCAGUCUUGCAACGAUUCUGUAAUUUGCCUUCAAGUGGGUAUACUUGCGUUCGAUUCACAGUUGAGCCAUCUUAGAAAGUCAGUUACUAGAUCGAUGAAUUGCGAGAAUCUCUGUUCUUAAUAUUGAGAGGGUGAGAUUUAGGGGCUUCCAGGAAGGGGAUCUUAUAGUUGAUAACAAUGGAGGAAAAUGAACAGCAUGGAAGUAGUGGCUUCAAGAGUUCUGGCGAGAAUCUGUAGUCUGUACGUUGCGAGAUUGGGGAGCUUGAGGCCGGCGAAAGCAUUCUCCUUGUUGAAAAGGGUCCUGAUGGCACCGAUGUUAAAGAUUCUAGAGGCAUAAGUCGGUGGAGACACUAGACGAAGGGUCCACUUGUCAAGGCACCUUUUGUUUCCUCCUCCUUCAUCAUUAAGAGGGAACGAGAUCGAGAAGAGGAGAUACUGAGGAAGAAGACAGAGUAGAAGAGAAGAGAAGCCACACGUAUUCGGUGCUCAUAAGAGCAGGAGCAAUUCUGGCCUUCAUUUCAAUCUAAAUUGCCCUCCAUUUCAAUUUAAA